rnacentral:lncRNA from 1 species
UAAGUUUUGAAGCAAUAUGAGACAUCUCCAUGAUGUACUCCCUUAUGUUUCCCUUGCCCUUGUACUUCAUUGAAAUCAAGCUUUGCAAAAGCGUGCUUGUUUCAGCCUUAUCGUUUUUCACAAAACGCUUCUCAAUUUCGGCAAGGAACUCCUUGGCAUUAGUUAUCCCUUCGGAUACUGCACCUCUAAAGGCUUCCGGAAUGCCACGCUUAAUG